rnacentral:rRNA from 1 species
UACAGAGGGUGCAAGCGUUAAUCGGAAUUACUGGGCGUAAAGCGUGCGCAGGCGGUGAUGUAAGACAGGGGUGAAAUCCCCGGGCUUAACCUGGGAACUGCAUUUGUGACUGCAUCGCUGGAGUGCGGCAGAGGGGGAUGGAAUUCCGCGUGUAGCAGUGAAAUGCGUAGAUAUGCGGAGGAACACCGAUGGCGAAGGCAAUCCCCUGGGCCUGCACUGACGCUCAUGCACGAAAGCGUGGGGAGCAAACAGG